GAAGUGUGUCCAUGAUAUUACAUUUUUAAAGGUAGAAUCACAUUGCUUCACCAAGACAAAGUUGGUGAAAAUCUGUAUGAAGUUCUGUUUUCCAGAAUGGGACUCCAGGAGGAGGUACAGACUAUGACGCCUUCAGGAGGGGCUGAGAGAAGAGGAGAGGCUGAGCUAGUAGUUGUAAAAAACAUUGUGGGAGAGGAGGAGGAGGGUGACGAAAGACAAGAGGCGGAUCAGAGGGAGGAACGUCAAGAAAGCCCGGGGCAGAGGAGGAGUGCAGUUGGAAAGCCCAACAGGUGGCUUUACCUGAGCGGCACAGGGAAUGGGGGGUGGAGCAAAGGGGAGGUACUAGGAAUGAGGACAGACCAGUUACCUCCUUUACUCCAGGACAGCUGUUUGAAGCAAACGUCUGCGGAAGAUAAAUCAUGGACCAGAGAACUCGGUGCUGAUGCUUGCCACAUUCCCAUUAAGGAACUAAAUUGUAAUGCUGUUUUUCUGGAAAAUGCAACAGAACCUCAUGUGGCGGUCUUGCGAAGGCCUGCACAUGGGCUUCGGCUCCUGGGCAGCAGAAGAGCCGUGAGCAUGUUCGUCUUUCCAGACGAUAACAGGAGACACCAAAACACAGCGAUCAACCACCAAGACAGCUCUACAAAACCUCUCAGUGAUUGUAUGUUGACAGCUACCCACUCAAACAGCAAUCUCCUGCCUACCUCGAUCCUAAAUAAGCAAGGUUGCCCAGAUGUGGUCCAGCGGUGUAGGACAAGACGUGCUGAGCUGCGUGCGAUAGACGGUCUAAAACCAGACAUGCCACCUUCUGUCAGCUUGUUUCCUCUUCCACUAGAAGAACCGCCAAUACGUCGGACUUUAAAAAGCAAGAACAAACCGCGGCCUGUUAGCAUGACUGUUCUUGAGCUUAAUAAAGAGCGUAUUGGAUGCCGGGAUAAGCUCGCAAACGAUGCUUCCACUUUCACUGGUAGUUUGCCUCGUCCGGGCUUCCGAUAUAGAUGGUUUGGUCGACAGGCAACUGCAAAGGAAGUGGUGGCGAAACAAACUUCAACAAGGCUAAAGGAACCCAAGAAGACAGAAGAACCUAAGACAACAUUCGGAUCCCUCCGGAGGAGCUUGAGUCUAAGGAUGAGGCGGAAUCGUAAUCAUCCCGAGCAGGAGAAUCGGACUGAAUGGAGACGCACUUCAAGUAUCGGAGAACAAUCUAUGCAAACCACUCGCCCAUUUUCCUAUCUUACUGGUAAGAUGUUAACGCCAGCUCAUGAGCAAGAUGAGGAUCAAGGGGCCACACAGUGCUUUCAGUACCAAACUCGGGGCAGAGUGGCCAUCUUGGAGGUUCCUCUCCAUCCUGCCAAACUAACAAAGCCCACCAAACAUUUGCAACCUGAGACUAGUUUUUGGCAGCUAAUUACUAGUCGUUUUAAGAGGAAAGACCCAUUGUCCAGCAACAAAUCUGAGCUGUGCACUGAAAGCCAAGCAGUUGGCAGCCACCCCCCUGCAAGAAAUAAAAAGCCAGAUUCUGUUGCUAUAGAGACUCUAGCUGGCAUUGGUUUCUGCAAAGGUCAAGAUUCCUUCGUUAACAGUCAGGAAUGGACAUUAAGUCGAUCAGUACCAGAGCUCAAAGUGGGCAUCGUGGGAAACCUGUCCAGUGGGAAGUCAGCAUUAGUUCACCGGUAUCUGACAGGAACAUAUGUCCAGGAGGAGUCGCCCGAGGGAGGGAGGUUUAAAAAGGAGAUUGUGGUGGAUGGACAGAGUUAUCUCUUGCUGAUCAGGGAUGAAGGCGGCCCACCAGAACUGCAGUUUGCUGCCUGGGUGGACGCGGUGGUGUUCGUCUUCAGCUUGGAGGAUGAGAUCAGCUUCCAGACAGUUUAUAACUACUUCCUGCGUCUCUCCAGCUACAGGAACACGGCAGAGGUUCCCAUGGUGCUGGUGGGGACGCAGGAUGCCAUCAGCGCUGCCAACCCAAGAGUGAUAGAUGACGCUCGGGCUAGGAAGCUGUCCAAUGACCUGAAACGCUCCACGUAUUAUGAAACUUGCUCCACCUAUGGUCUUAACGUGGAGAGAGUCUUUCAAGAUGUUGCUCAGAAAGUGGUGGCACUGAGGAAAAAACAGCAGCUUUCGAUUGGUCCGUGUAAAUCUCUGCCCAACUCUCCCAGCCACUCGUCCGUCCCAGCCGCGUCUAUCCCCUCUGUACACAUCAAUCAGGCUGCUAAUGGAGGAGGCACGUUCAACGAUUACUCCUCCUCCGUUCCCUCCACCCCCAGCAUAAGCCAGAGGGAAAUGCGCAUCGAGACGGUGGCCGCCUCCAACACUCCCACGCCCAUCCGCAAGCAGUCCAAACGGCGCUCCAACAUCUUCACAUCAUGGAAAGCCAGUGAUCAGACAAAGAGCAUUGAGAAUAAAACUGACAGUAUAGGGAGUGGAAGGGCCAUACCCAUCAAACAGGGGAUUUUGUUAAAAAGAAGCGGGAAGUCACUUAAUAAGGAGUGGAAAAAGAAAUACGUCACGCUGUGUGACAACGGUCUGCUCACGUACCACCCCAGUUUACAUGACUACAUGCAGAACGUCCACGGUAAAGAAAUUGAUUUGCUGCGGACGACAGUAAAGGUACCCGGGAAGAGGCCGCCCAGAGCAGUGGCAACGGUCGCCCCUACAGCCAGCCCCAAAACCAACGGACUGACCAAAGACCGCAGCACUUUACAACUCGGCAUCGGGGCCACAAGCACUCCUCACUCGAACAGCAGCAGUUCCCUGCAGUCCGGGGGUUCAGCGGCCGGUGUGGCUUUGGGGACUAGUAAAGAGGGAAUGCACCAGCGCUCGUUCUCCGUGUCCAGCGCAGAACAGUGGAGUGAGGCUGUUAUCAGCACCACCGCAGCCAAUGGGAUGGCAGAUCCUCUCAGCUCCGCCCCUGGCAUGAGCAGCGCCACCAGUCCCAAACUUGAGCCUCCACCAUCACCUCACGCCAACCGCAAGAAACACAGACGGAAAAAGAGCACAGGCAUCACCAAACCGGACGGCCUUUCUGCAGGGAAUGAAGAGCAAGAGGAGUCAUUUGAGUUCAUCAUUGUGUCCCUGACGGGUCAGAUGUGGCACUUUGUGGCGUCCACGUAUGAGGAGAGAGAACUCUGGGUUCAGGCCAUUGAGAGCCAGAUAUUUGCCAGCCUACAGUGCUGUGAGAGCAGCAAGAACAAGUCUCGAUUAGGAAGCCAGAGUGAUGCAGUGACCAUCCAGUCCAUCAGGAACAUGAGGGGAAACAGCUUCUGUGCAGACUGUGACGCUCCCAAUCCGGACUGGGCCAGUCUGAACCUUGGCGCUCUGAUCUGUAUCGAGUGCUCCGGGAUGCACAGGAACCUGGGCACCCAUCUGUCCCGCGUACGGUCUCUGGACCUGGACGACUGGCCUGUGGAGCUCAGCAUGGUGAUGACGGCCAUCGGGAACGCCAUGGCCAACAGUGUAUGGGAGGGCUGUGUGGAAGGAUACACCAAACCUGGGGUGGACAGCACCAGGGAAGUGAAGGAGCGCUGGAUCCGGGCGAAGUACGAACAGAAGUUGUUUCUGGUGGGGCUUCCUCAGUCAGACGUGCCUCUGGGACAGCAGCUCCUGCGGGCCGUGGUGGAGGACGACCUGAGGCUGGUGGUUCUCCUGCUUGCCCACGGCACCAAAGAAGAGGUCAACGAAACGUAUGGGGACGGAGACGGACGUACCGCCCUGCACCUGUCCUGCGCCAUGGCUAAUGUGGUCAUCACACAGCUGCUCAUCUGGUACGGCGUGGACGUGAAGAGUCGCGACGCCCGUGGUCAGACGCCGAUGUGCUACGCCCAGCGAGCAGGAAGUCAAGAGUGCGUCGACAUCCUUAUCCAACACGGUUGUCCCUGUGAUGACGGCGGAGGACCGUCGACACCCACGGCCACCCGACACAAUCCCAACAUCAACAACAACGCUCAAUGCGAGCUGAACCGUAGUGUUAGCAUCAUGUGAUUGUGGCCCGCAGUGUCUCUAGUGUCUGAUGUUGAUGUUCCCAUAGAUGCUGCUCUCGUUAAAUAGCAUCAUUUCCCCAGCAGUACAGUACGUCUUUAUUAGGAAACUGUGCGUAGUGCCACGUGUGUCACGUAAAACCCAUUACCCCCAUGACGACUUCCUGUGACCAAUGUUAGCGUACGGCGAGAAUUAGCAGUGUUAACGUGUUAUUUUUAAGCUGAAGAAAAUUAGGUUUUUAAGGAUCCUUUUUUUGUGUGUGUAUAGAACAAAAAAAUGAAAUUAUGGGCAAUAGGUUCUAAAGAUAAGUUUGAUUUUUUUUAAGGUACAUUGGUUUAGAAAUAAUGAGAUGACAGUAAUGCAUUGGGCCCAUGUGUUUAUGUCCAUAAGAACAUUAAAUUAUGUUGUUAAAGGGGAAGUUCUGUUAAUAUUUACUGUCCCUCAUGUCAUUCCAAACUUCUUUCUUCUGCUGAAUACACACACACACACACACACACACAAAAGAUGUCUGGAAGAAUAUGGGCAACCAACGAGUUUUGGUUCGCAUUGUUUUCAAUAUGUUUUAUGCAAAUUACCAUAAAUGCUUCACUAAAUUCAGCUGAUUUUUCUGAUUUAUGCUUAAAAAAACAAAAACAUUUAAGUGCAUAUUUCACUAAAACUUCACACAUUUUAAAGUUGUACUACCAUUGUGCCCUUAAACGAAGCUCAAAAACACUAAGGCUACUGGGUAAAACAUUACCAUGUGUGCCAUCAGUGCAAUAUAACAAAACCCAAAUCAUCAUACUGCUAUUUUACAUUUAGCCUUUACGUGAUUGUCUUGGAAGGGCUUGAUAAAUACUGUGUUAUUGCGGAUGCCUUGUGUGAAUCAUUUCUGGACCGGUCUAAAGUGUUCUUCUAAUUGUUUGAUACUGAUGUCCCUCUCCUGCCUAAUGACAGAUCCAUUCAGUAGCAGCGGACAGUACCGACACACUAGAUUACACUCUCGCCGUUUACUCCUGUGAGAGUGUGUUUGUUACGAGUCUAAUGACCUCCACACUUGUGACUGUGUGGCUGUUUUUGUAUCCAUUAGAAUCCAGACGUGUGUUUCUAAUCAAAUGGGAUCGUGAUGUGGAUAAUGUACAGAUGUGUGUAGAAAAUAGCUUUUCCUGCUCCUUGUUGCAGCUAAUUGUGUGUCGUGUGGGCAAUUUCUGGAUGAGAUGGCCGUUAUGUACCCAUCUGAAACCUAUCAGCCUUAACCCUUGUUUGCUAGUGUGUAUGCCGUCAACUUUUACUUGAAAUAUGAAAUCAUGAUUAAAACUUAAUUAAUAUUUGGCACAUGUGAGUUAAAGGGAACGCGGUAAAGCGAGAGGGAGAUGUUGAACCUUCCUUACCAGACAGUAUUUUAAGUUUACAUUAUUAGGCGUUUUACCUUCUAGCAGGUACGUUUUCUUUCUUAUUCGAGUCAGAGUUGUACAUGCAACCCUCAUCUAACUAAGCUUUAGGAGAAUUGCCAUUGAUUUUAAAUGCAACGUAAUUCUGGAGGCUCAUCCCCAACAGCAUGCAUGGAAAGUUACCCUGUUGUUCUUCAAAAGUGAAUAUGUAUCACUUUUUUUUUAUUAUUUUAUUUUUAUUUUUUUAUUAUUUUUUUUUAUAUACGCUGUGCUUGGGCUCCUUUGUAUGACAUGAGGUUGCUAAGAUGAGCUUUUGGGAAUAUGGCAGUUGAAAAUUAUAAACACUUUCCCAUCAUCCCUGCGACUGCCGGCUUAUUGAAUGUUGGGAUGAGCACGUAAAGUUCCUCAAGUAGCCAUAUAGCAGAGAGAAGCACCGUUUUGUUUUAAAGUUGUUUUUGGUACCUGGUUUUGGGUCUCAAUGUGUCCACAUUGUCUGGCCGUUAAGGUACUUUGUGUAUUAUAUGUACAUUUGACAUAUUUAUAAAAGCAAGAUGUAAAUAAUUCCUUUUGUUGUUGCUUUUAUUGAGCUGUUUGAUAACUUUCUGUCCGUUCUUUUAAUUUGCCAUUGUUUUUAAAUGCUCCUUCUGAACAUGAUGGAGAACUUUCAUGAGAGUUAGCUGUUGUGUGAUUGGAUGCUUGGCUGGCUAUAAUAAACACUCCAAUAAAAUGAUUUAUACCAUGAA